AGUCGAGGGGUAGAGGUUGCUUGCAACCUUGAGACCGGCGCACGGGUGCGUAACGCGUAUGCAAUCUGCCCUCUACAGGGGAAUAGCCCAGGGAAACUUGGAUUAAUGCCCCAUGGUAUCAUUUCACAGCAUUGUGAGAUGAUUAAAGAUUUAUCGGUAGAGGAUGAGCAUGCGUCCCAUUAGCUAGUUGGUAUGGUAACGGCAUACCAAGGCUACGAUGGGUAGGGGCCCUGAGAGGGGGAUCCCCCACACUGGUACUGAGACACGGACCAGACUCCUACGGGAGGCAGCAGUGAGGAAUAUUGGACAAUGGGCGGAAGCCUGAUCCAGCCAUGCCGCGUGCAGGAAGACUGCCCUAUGGGUUGUAAACUGCUUUUUUACGGGAAGAAACACCCCCACGUGUGGGGGCCUGACGGUACCGUAGGAAUAAGCAUCGGCUAACUCCGUGCCAGCAGCCGCGGUAAUACGGAGGAUGCAAGCGUUAUCCGGAAUCAUUGGGUUUAAAGGGUCCGUAGGCGGGCGAUUAAGUCAGGGGUGAAAGUCUGCGGCUCAACCGUAGGACUGCCCUUGAUACUGGUUGUCUUGAAUCGUUGUGAAGUGAUUAG
rnacentral:rRNA from 1 species